UGCUCGAGCUGUCGGAGCUUCACCUGUGAACACAGGAUCCCUCAGACACACUGGGAAAAGGCCAGGGAUCCUCAGACAGAUGUAUUUCAUAAGUGGCUGAAGAGCCGCAGAGGCUCCAUCCUGCUCCAGGCAGAGCUGAUGGGAUUUGCGGCGGUCCCAGUUGCCAUGGAGAAAGUGUUGGAUGGCUUUAAUACAUCUCCGUGAAUUUCUCCCUGGAGUUUUCCCAUGACAAGCUGGACUGGAGCAGUUUUCGAGCAAUUUCCAGUGGGUAAGUUGAGUGCAGAGCCCCUCGCAGAGCAAGGAGGGGAUCGACGUGGGAAAUGAUGACGACAAAAGGAGAACCACCAGGGAUGGCAGAAAGAUCAUCCUUGCAAAAAUGCCAACGUCAGCCCUGGCAGGAAGAGGAGAAGAAAAACAGUUUGAGAAGGAAGAAAAUGUGCAAACCUCUGUGGGAAUGGUGCCUGCAUGGGAAAUAAUACCCCAAAAGAUCAUAUUUGGGGGUGUCAGAGGUGGGGAAGGUAGGGACUCCUCUCUGCUUCAUCAGCAUCACUGGGCGGUGCCUGGUCACGUUUAUGCUGCUGCUUCUACUGUUUUCUCCGUGUUUUCUGUAUCUCUUUGCUUUCUGCUGUGGUUUCCCUUUUGCCCCUCUCUCCUGCUGCUGUCACCUGUCUUCUCCUCAGGUUUUAGGCUGCUCUCUCCCACAGAGGGUGGUGGAGAAGCUGCUGGGGCCAGCGGGUGCUGAGUGGGCACUGCUGGCACAAGGGCCUGUGUGCUGUUAGUUUGGCUUGGUGCCUGCAAUCGAUAUGAGCUUGCUUGGGGUAAUUGUUUUGUGUCUCUGGAACAGUUUAUUUGGUUUCUAAAGUGCUCACUUUAUAGAGUUAUUUCUCAAGCCUUGUCCGAGCCUCUUGUCACGUCGGUACUAAGUGAGUUUCAGGGCUAUUUGCUAGUCAACUUUGUCAUUUCUAUUUCAUUUUUUAGUUUGCUCUCUACGUACACUGAAGUGUAAUUCUGUUUGGUUUUGCUGACUUGGGCCUGAAGAGAGACACAUUGCCGCCUUCUGAAACCCCCUCCAAGGCCUUCACCUCCCUGGCAGCCCCCUGAGCUUUGUGGGGUCUGCCUUUCACCCCCUGAGCCCGUCUGCCCUGAUUCCCCUUCGUGGGGCUUGGGCAGGGACGCUGUGGGACACGGGGAUGUGAGGGUGCAGGGAUUCAGGGAUGUAGGGAUGUGGAGAUGCUGUGCCCCACAGCCACACCAGUCCUGCUCUGCCCUGAGCCCCUGGAAAAUGAGCAGUGAAUUAAAGGACUGCCCACGAGCGCGGGGGAGGAAAGAGAAAGCCUGAUCUUUCCAGAUGACAUUUACGCCUGCAGAAGGCCGAUGUAUUUUAUCCACUGUCACAUUUAAAAGGCACUGAAUUCAUUAUACUGUUGAAUAAAUCAUUAUUUUAAAAAACGUAUUUAUCCAGAGAAGAGCCACAGCUUUUCAGUCAAGAGCUGCUCCUGCUCAGAUAAACUCUUCCACCACGGGAGCUUCCAGCUCUCCCCUCACUGACAGUACUGGUAGCAGGUUUUUGGGUCCCACACUGCCCUGUGCAUGGGGACGAAGAUCCAGGCUUUGCUUGGGGGAGCAGCUGAGGGCUGACAAGACACUGAAGUGCUCGCACGCCUCUGUCACAGAGGGUUAAAGUUGUUGAGCUGAAGCUUGGUAAAUCAGGCAGGAAAAUAAUCAGCUCCCAGGUGAAGUGAGAAGAUGCUUGAUGUUUUACAGCUUCUUUCAUACACUUUACAGAAACUAAUGGUUACACAAAUAAUACCUGGGGGAUGAUAACAAGCUAUAAAUAAUUCAGGGUUCUCUGGCACAGAGCUGCCGUGUGCAGGUGUGAGGAGCACACGGCACCUUGGGAUGACUCACGUCCUGGGAGACUGGUGCUCUUUCACCAUCCUACAGCUCUCUUAGCAGUGUCCCUGCCCUUUUCCCAGCCUUUCUGGCCUGGCUCUGCUUUCUCCCCUCACACCCAGAUCACCCACUCCCCCAGCUGCUGCAGGAGCUAUCAGCAACACCCUGUGCCGACAGUGCUGGGAGAAGCCUGAGGUUUUCCAUGUGUUCUGGGGCCACACAACCAACUGGCCAAGCCCAUCAUCCUCCAAAGAGUUGUGCAUAAGCUGCUAUGCCCCAAAGCCACUGCUGGUGUCUGUAUCCAAACCGAGCACCUCAGAGAGCCACCGCCCCUGGCCGGCUGUGGGUCACGCCAGGCUCUGCCCGCCUCUGCCAGCCCUUUCCACAAACACUGGAGGUUUUUUUGAGAGCUGUUUGUGUGCAAUUCCCCAUCCUCGGAUGGAGAGGUUUCAGUUUCUCUGCCGCUAAAUAUUUUGACAGCCUCUUGUCUCGCAGCCUGGCACAGUGUGACAUGUUGUACGGUAACAGUCCCCUCGGCUCCCCGCUGCGGCACUCCACGUGCUUUGUGCCAGCACACCACGUGCUCCCCACACCGAAAUGGGCUCCAUCCAGCAGCCACAACCCUCCCAGGAGGAAUCAUUCCCAGCUCAAACCCCGGAGAUGGGAAUGGGGGCAAGGGAAGAAGGCACUCUGCCACAGCUGCCUCAAAGCGGGAGAUGGAUGGCUGCCGAGGAGGGCUCAGCCUUCUUUAUCCCAAAGGAUUCCCCACAGCCGGAUCCCUCCUGACUGCACGUCUGGAUGUCUUAUCAUGAGCGUGUUGUUCUUAAUGAGGAAACAACCAGGAAAGUUGGUGGCAGGACCCACAGCUCAAUAAAGCAGGGGAACAAAAACCUCCACUGCAAUUUGGAAUCGAGUUUUCUCUUCCAGCCUGUGUCGCGGGGAGGAAUUGAUCUGUCUAAUCUCUUAUCUGUGACUAUGAAAUUGUAUUUCCCUCUUAAUAGCCCUACAAAUGUUACAGAUGGAUAGUUUGGAAGACAGGCUGCCAGUGGUAGGAAUACUAAAAAGGAUGUUGAGUUUUGCUUGCUUUGGGGUGCAGCAACCAGCAUGGAAUGCCAGGAUCCCUGUUGGCCUUGGCCCCACUCUGCAGGGACCCAGCUCAAACACUGACAUUUGCACCCCAUUCCUGGUUAGCUCAGGCUGGAGGGCUCUUAGGAGCUGUUUAAUUUAGGCAUCACAAAGCUGCCCCAUCCCUCCUCACCCUGUUACUACAUUGUAAAGAGGAGGAGAAAGAAGCAGACCAGGCUCUUUCUCUGCUCUUCCCAGUUUCCCAUGUGAAAGCCUGGUUUUCCCACAUCGGGAUGGCCACCAAGUGUCUCAGGCACUUAGACUCCCCAUGGAGCAGUGAGUGGCACCUUCAGGGGGCAGAGGGGGCUUUUCCCUCCAGAGCUCCAUCAGCCAGGUUUCCCCAUGAUUUUCCUUGCAAGUUCACAGGCGCUGGCAUCCCCCAGAUUUUUCUGGAUUGCAGAGACGUGAGGGGACAAUGUCCUUGUACCCCCAGCUCCUGCCCUGUCCCUGAUGGACUGUCUGGCUCCACAGCAUCUCCAGUGUGGAUGUGAUGUGUUGAUGUGAGGUGCCUCUGGCGCUGCCAUCCCUUCUUCUUCCAGUCCAGAAGAUUUUCCCAGGACCAAGAAACUGAGGUGAAGGAGAAUGGGAACACUGCGGGCCACUGCCACGGAGCUGUUUGAUGAUGAAUUUGGAGCAGUCAAGGUGACCUUUUUGGGAUGGGGCCCGUGCUUGUCCCCAUGCAUCCCCCGUGCCUGCCCGGCCAUCAAGCCCUUUUUGCCAUCAGGACAUUCAUCACCACACUAUCACAGUAUUUAAAUGAGUCAGAUUAAUCACUUUAUCAUCCAAAUACAGGUGGAUUAAUGCAGUCACUUAAUACUCUGUUUAAGCAGCUGAUUUUUUUUUAAAAAGCUCAAUAAUUGAGGGAAUUACUGGAAAAAUUAGAAAAAUUAACAGUUUAUUUACUACUUAUUGUCAGAGCUGCCAGCCAAGAAAAAGUGGGAUCAAUAAGCACUUGUUUCACCCUCCUACACCUCUCUCCCCUCAAACAGCACCUCUGGGAACACAAAUCUGGGGCAACUGCCAUGGCCAAAACUGAGCAGGUAAGCAUGGAAAUACCCUGUCGUGGGAAGAACUGAGCUCCAUCUCCACGUAUUUUAAUAUGGGAAAUGUCAUCUGCUGUUCCAGCUCCUCUCAUAAACAGGGAACGUGCCUGUCAGCAAGCUGAACCCGUAAAAGUUGAAUAAUAUUUGUUGAUUAAUGUAGUCAAUGGAUUUCAUAUUUCCUUUAAAAUAGUUGCUCCGUAUUUCUGUAAAUUAUUCAUCCGGUU